AUCCAGGGAUGGGAAUCGAACCCACAGUGUUCUGCUUACCGGGCAGAUGCCAUGUCCACUAGGCUACCCUAGA